rnacentral:rRNA from 1 species
AAUGAACGCUGGCGGCGCGCCUAAUACAUGCAAGUCGAGCGAGAAGACGUAGCAAUACGUUUGUAAAGCGGCGAACGGGUGAGGAAUACAUGGGUAACCUACCCUCGAGUGGGGAAGUAACUAGCCGAAAGGUUAGCUAAUACCGCGUACGCUUCUUGGACUUCGGUUCAGGGAGGGAAAGACGAUACCGUGGGUAGUCGCGCUCUUGGAUGGGCUCAUGUCCUAUCAGCUUGUUGG